AUGUGUUUAUGGCUGCGCUGGGUCUUUGUUGCCCAAGGGCCAUCUCCAUUUGUGGUGAACAGAGAGAAGGUGAAGGGCAGGUUACUCUCUCGUUUCUGUGCGAAAGCGUCUCAUCGUGGUGGCUUCUCCUGUUGCAGAGCACAGGCUCCAGAGCGCAGGUCCAGUAGUUGCUCCACAGCAUGUGAGAUCUUCCCGGACCAGGUAUUGAACCUGUGCCCCCUGCACCAGCAGGUGGACUCCCAACCACUGGACCAUCAGGGAAGUCCCAGACACGGUUCCUUAUUUGGUGGAUUCUUCACCACUGAGGAAGCCCCUUAGUUCUAUUUUACAGCUGAGAAAACCAAGGCCUGGAGAGGUCACAGAACUGGACCAGUGUGAGCAGAGAGGGGAGGCAGCUGUGGCGAUGGAGACUCUGCCAGCUCACCUGGGCACCUCUUCCCUCGUCUCCUCAGUGGUCCUAUCAGACCGUCACCUGCUGGACCGCAAAAUGCCUGGGAAGCGGGGAUUGUGUCUUAACCAUCUUCUGUUCCUCCCACAGCACCCUCCACCUAAUAGGUAUCCAAUAAAUGUUAAUUAAAUAAGUGCUCUAAAGCCUGGAGUCUAAAUGGUUCUAAAUUAGAUUUUCAAAGCUUUCUGUGCCUUCACAGAUUUUUAUUAAAAAGAAAGAAAGAAAACCCUUCGGUUUCUUAAUCUGGCAAUGAAGAAAGAGACUGUUAGUUCAUUUUGUUCCCUGGGAUAUUCAGAGACAAAUACUCAGAGCUGCAAGGAGGCUGAGGGUGUCUAUUAGAAUAAACAGCAAUAAUGAAUGAAUCUAGAAUACAAUUCCGUCUCUUGUUUACAUAUGCCUGUUCCUUCUGGCUCAUGGGUUUUCAAAUGACCUUUCCUAGCAAGAUCUGGAAAUGAAUAGUCUUUUCUUCUUUUCAACCAGUUCUUGUAUUUCCUGAAGUCAGUUGCCAUGUGUCCUUUGACAAAUGAGUUGCAGGAGUGUUGACCUUACCUUGAAGAACACUUUCGCCUGUAUUUUCACU
rnacentral:lncRNA from 1 species